rnacentral:rRNA from 1 species
AACGAACGCUGGCGGCAGGCUUAACACAUGCAAGUCGAGCGCCCCGCAAGGGGAGCGGCAGACGGGUGAGUAACGCGUGGGAAUCUACCCAUCUCUACGGAAUAGCGCAUGGAAACGUGUGCUAAUACCGUAUACGUCCUUCGGGAGAAAGAUUUAUCGGAGAUGGAUGAGCCCGCGUGGGAUUAGCUAGUUGGUGGGGUAAAGGCCUACCAAGGCGAGGAUCCAUAGCUGGUCUGAGAGGAUGAUCAGCCACACUGGAACUGAGACACGGCCCAGACUCCUACGGGAGGCAGCAGUGGGGAAUAUUGGACAAUGGGCGCAAGCCUGAUCCAGCCAUGCCGCGUGAGUGAUGAAGGCCCUAGGGUUGUAAAGCUCUUUCACCGGUGAAGAUAAUGACGGUAACCGGAGAAGAAGCCCCGGCUAACUUCGUGCCAGCCGCCGCCGUAACAC